rnacentral:rRNA from 1 species
CCUGCUCAAUGUUAUUAUCAAUAGCCGCAGAAUUUACUGUGCUAAGGUAGCAUAAUCAUUUGCCUUUUAAUUAAAGGAUAGUAUGAAUGGGUUAACAAUAUUAAACUGUUUCUUUACUAUAUAAUUAAAUUAUACUAAAAGUAAAAAUACUUUUAAUUACAAGAAGGACGACAAGACCCUAUCGAACUUUACACAAGUUUAGCUGGGGUGGCAAAUUAAAAAAAUCUUAUUUUUUUACCAAUAAAAAUCCAGUAUAAUUGAUUUCACUAAGUUACCGUAGGGAUAACAGCAUAAUUUACUUUUUAAGCUCUUAUUUAAAAGUAAGAUUGUGACCUCGAUGUUGAAUUAAAAAAUCUCCUUACUUUGACGCAAAAGUCUAGAAAGAAAGUCUGUUCGACUUUUAAACUUUUACAU